rnacentral:piRNA from 1 species
UAUUGUUUGCCCGUAGAAGUGG